UACGUAGGGUGCAAGCGUUAAUCGGAAUUACUGGGCGUAAAGCGUGCGCAGGCGGUUUGGUAAGACAGAUGUGAAAUCCCCGGGCUCAACCUGGGGAUUGCAUUUGUGACUGCCCGACUAGAGUGUGUCAGAGGGGGGUAGAAUUCCACGUGUAGCAGUGAAAUGCGUAGAGAUGUGGAGGAAUACCGAUGGCGAAGGCAGCCUCCUGGGCCAACACUGAC
rnacentral:rRNA from 1 species